UUGUAAAUCACUUUAUUUUAUAUACAUUUAAAAAUAUGUAUGGAAAAUUCAAAGCCAGUAAAAUGCAAAUCACUGGUGCAAUCCCAAAUCCAAAUGUAUGUUAUAAAGUCAUACAACCCUACUGGCAAAAGGCAGCUAAUAAAAAUCUUUCAAGGUUGGUAUUUUCUCAUCAAGUUCUGCCAAACCAUUCUUAUGUAUAUAUUCUAGCAGAUGGAGAGGGGUUAGGAGCAAUAACCCCACCACCCACCCCAAAAGAGGGAGAAGAAACGCUUUAGUAUAAUAUCAAUGGAAACAGAUUUCGUCUUGGACAUUUUAUCAGCAGAUGUUUGUCUAUCAAAUAAGUAAACCACAAGAUCCAAACACUUGCUUUAUGUAGUGGUGGAUACAGGAAGAAAACGUGAAACACUAACUUCAAUACUGAGUUUAGUCGAGAGUUCGUUCCCCAAUUGUAGCAUGAUGUGGUUUCGGUAUAAAUGCACAAAAGUGAAUAAGCUGGCAAGCACAAAUAAGGGCAACCAAAAAUUAAUUUCACAAAGUAAAAUAACUUCAAUGCAACAAGUUUUGCAGCACAAGUAGCUUCAUGGGAACUAUAAUUACUCUACCCUGCUCAUACACUUAUUUUCCAAAGUGUUAACAGGCAGUGUAUAUUUAAAAAAAAAAAAAAAAAGUCAAAAUCCCUGCUUGUUGAAACUUUGGAGAAUACUUGGCAGUUUAUUGUAAUCAUUUUUACUAAAAAAGUUAGGCAUAAUAGUUUCUUGUAAUACUAUAGGUACUUUAAAAAUACAUUUCCAUAAUGUUGCUUGCAACACAGUUAAUCCUGGUCGUCUGCUUUUAAUUAAUUUUGUAAUAUAUCCUGGAAAUGAGCACAAUAGAAAGAGAACCUGACAUUGAAGAGGCUGUGGCAGUAUUAAGACAGACAUCAAACACAUGCUUUGACAUCAAACACAUCACACAACCAGUAUAUAAUAUCACAAAAGUGAGAAUUUUUUUUUUAGAACUUGAAAUGUAAUACUUAAAUCGUAAAUAUAAAAAGUUCUCCAUCAAAAACUGUAAAGGGUGGGAAAGAGGGAUGCUAAUCUCUCCUUCCUUAUCUAGUAGUUCCUUGAUGUGUAGAGUAGUGAUGAGCAAAUUCAUACCAAUCAAAUAAAAAUCAGCCUGAGCAGCGAGGGGCUGGCCCCGCUCAAGAGAUUCCCCUUAAAGCCAGACAUCUCAGGCCUGCACAGUUGCUCGGCUGCUACCUGUGCAGUGCAGAUGCCGGCUUAGCAAGCACUGCUCAUGUCUGGAGACACCCAGAAGUGCAGCUACUCCAAGCAAGAGUGAGAUUGACAGGGCCAGGUGACAUGUCUGGCCAUGUUGAUCAAUGGGGCGGUCUUGAGCAACGGGGACAGGCCCUUGCUGCUCAAUCAGGCUGAUGUUUGAACAAAUUUGAUUUGUACAAGCCAAUUUGCUCAUCACUAGUUUACCUUCCAUGGCUUGAUCCAUUUUGGAUUGUGGUUUAAAAAAGGGAAAAUGCAGCAGAUCUACACCUCAAGGAACCUACUGCCCACUGGAAUGGGGCUGCACAUUUUUUUUUCCUCAAGUACUUCUAGCUAAAGCAUAUUGCUAAAA